CCGACCUUAGCUCAGUUGGUAGAGCGGAGGAUUGUAGAUCCUUAGGUCGCUGGUUCGAAUCCGGCAGGUCGGA
rnacentral:tRNA from 1 species